CAGUAGCCACGGGAAUACGUAGGGUGCGAGCGUUAAUCGGAAUUACUGGGCGUAAAGCGCACGUAGGCGGAUCGAUCAGUCAGGGGUGAAAUCCCAGAGCUCAACUCUGGAACUGCCUUUGAUACUGUCGAUCUGGAGUAUGGAAGAGGUGAGUGGAAUUCCGAGUGUAGAGGUGAAAUUCGUGGAUAUUCGGAGGAACACCAGUGGCGAAGGCGGCUCACUGGUCCAUUACUGACGCUGAGGUGCGAAAGCGUGGGGAGCAAACAGGAUUAGAUACCCGCGUAGUCCCUGUCUUUAUACU
rnacentral:rRNA from 1 species